AAUGUAUGACGCCAUUGACUUUUUUCCAACGUUUGAUCAUUCGUCUUAUUCAAAAAAAUUUAUGUAAUUAUCAUUUAUUUUAUUAUGAUUUGAUUCAUCAUCGAAUAUUCUUUAAGCAUGACAUAAAUAUUUUCAUAUUUACACAAAAAUUUUGAAUAAAACAAAUGGUCAAACGUUGGUCGAAAAGUUAACGGCGUCAUACAUU
rnacentral:pre_miRNA from 1 species